GAUGAACGCUAGCGGCAGGCCUAAUACAUGCAAGUCGAGGGGCAGCACGGUAGCAAUACUGGUGGCGACCGGCGCACGGGUGCGUAACACGUAUGCAACCUGCCUUCAACUGGGAGAUAGCCCGGGGAAACUCGGAUUAAUACCCCAUAACACAGUGAAUCAGCAUUGAUUUAUUGUUAAAGCUCCGGCGGUUGAAGAUG
rnacentral:rRNA from 1 species